rnacentral:rRNA from 1 species
UGAGCAAUCUGCCCUUCUCAUCGGAAUAAGCGUUGGAAACGACGUCUAAUGCCGAAUACGACCUCCUUUCGCAUGAUCGGAGGUGGAAAGCUCCGGCGGAGAAGGAUGAGCUCGCGGCCUGUCAGCUAGUUGGUGUGGGUAAUGGCCUACCAAGGCGACGAUCGGUAGCUGGUCUGAGAGGAUGGCCAGCCACACUGGAACUGAGACACGGUCCAGACUCCG